GACGAACGCUGGCGGCGUGCUUAACACAUGCAAGUCGAACGGAAAGGCCCUUCUUGGGGGGGGUGCUCGAGUGGCGAACGGGUGAGUAGCACGUGAGUAACCUUCCCUUGACUUUGGGAUAACUUCAGGAAGCUGGGGCUCAUACCGGAUAUGAGCUCCUGCUGCAUGGUGGGGGUUGGAAAGGUUGGGCGGUUGGGGAUGGACUGGCGGCUUAUCAGCUUGUGGGUGGGGUAGUGGCUUACGAAGGCUUGGACGGGUAGCCGGCCUGAGAGGCUGACCGGCACAAUGGGGCUGGGGAACCGGCCAAGCCUCCUCGGGGGGGAAGAAGUGGGGAAUAUUGCAAAAGGGGCGGAAGCCUAAUGCAGAAACGCCGGGUGGGGGAUGAGGCCUUCCGGGUUGUAACCCGUUUUCGCCUGUGACGAAGUGUGAGUGACGGUACCGGGUAAAGAAGCACCGGCUAACUACGUG
rnacentral:rRNA from 1 species